UGGGGAAUAUUGCACAAUGGGGGAAACCCUGAUGCAGCGACGCCGCGUGAGUGAAGAAGUAUUUCGGUAUGUAAAGCUCUAUCAGCAGGGAAGAAGCAAGUGACGGUACCUGACUAAGAAGCCCCGGCUAACUACGUGCCAGCAGCCGCGGUAAUACGUAGGGGGCAAGCGUUAUCCGGAUUUACUGGGUGUAAAGGGAGCGUAGACGGCGAUGCAAGUCCGAUGUGAAAACCCAUGGCUCAACCAUGGGAUUGCAUUAGAAACUGUAUUGCUGGAGUGCAGGAGAGGUAAGCGGAAUUCCUGGUGUAGCGGUGAAAUGCGUAGAUAUCAGGAGGAACACCGGUGGCGAAGGCGGCUUACUGGACUGUAACUGACGUUGAGGCUCGAAGGCGUGGGGAGC
rnacentral:rRNA from 1 species